UAUUGAUUAGAUGUCGCUUUCAGGACA
rnacentral:sRNA from 1 species